AAUGACCCAGCACAUCCACACCAUGUGCAUCCUGAAAAAGCAAGGAAGUUAAUUCGGUGAAUAGCUGAGGCCUGUACCACUAGUCAAGGCAGUAUCCUCAGUCCUCAUAAGGAGGAUCAGCUCUGUGAAAAAGCUUAAAACCUUAGGCAUCAUGGAGUAAUGGUUAAAAGCUUUGGGGUCAGACAGACCUGAAUUUGAAUUCCACCUUUGCCACUUUCAGGGAGAGACACAGCAAGAGAGGGAAUGCAAGCAGGGGGAGUGGAAGAGGG